AUAUUUGGUGACCUGCAGCAAGCCCUCAGUCCCCAGGAGUCACCAACGGGGGCUGAAAGAGAAAAGGGGUGAGCCGUGGGAGAAGCACAGAAAGGGAGGAAGAGCCAAAUUAGGGAUGGACAUGGUUCAAGAUGGCAGGGCUAGAGAUAUAUUCCUUUAUGCAGGUCACCCAUUAACACUUAGAGUCCCUGGAAGCUCUGCAGAGAGUGGGAAAGGAAGGCUUUGGAAAAUCCAGGUUUGGGAUCUUUGCAUCUAACAGGACCCUAGCAGCAGGCACUCUCAGGGAUUUGGGGACCAUCCAUCAGCCUCUUUUAGGGGAGGGAUCCUGUGUGGAAUGUUGGAGGAUCUGUAAAGAGACACAGGGAAGCUUAUGCAUUGGUAACACAGAAGUGGGCCAUCCCUGAGUCAUAUCUUCUAUCCACAUUGGGUGUAGGCACAGUCAUGGAAUCAUCAAGUGUCAGAGUUGCAAGGUGUCUUAGAAGGGAGAACAUCAGAGCUCAAAGGGACCAUGGAACAUGGAAUGUCAACGCUAAGAGAGCCUGGAGCACAACAUUGGCACUAGGAGGAAUCACAGGGCAAAGGAUGUCAGAAUUGGAAGGGACCUUAGAAGGUAGAACCCUGGACUGGGGAAGGAUCUUAGAACAUAAUAUAUCAGAGAAGGGAGGAACCUUAGAGUAUAGAACAUCUGAACUGAUUGAGACCAUAGAGCAUGGAAUGUCAAAGCUAAGAGAGCCUGGAGCACAACAUUGGCACUAGGAGGAAUCACAGGGCAAAGGAUGUCAGAAUUGGAAGGGACCUUAGAAGGUAGAACCCUGGACUGGGGAAGGACCUUAGAACAUAAUAUAUCAGAGAAGGGAGAAACCUUAGAGUGUAGAACAUCUGAACUGAUUGAGACCAUAGAACAUGGAAUGUCAAAGCUAAGAGAGCCUGGAGCACAACAUUGGCACUAGGAGGAAUCACAGGGCAAAGGAUGUCAGAAUUGGAAGGGACCUUAGAAGGUAGAACCCUGGACUGGGGAAGGAUCUUAGAACAUAAUAUAUCAGAGAAGGGAGAAACCUUAGAGUGUAGAACAUCUGAACUGAUUGCUACCAUAGAACAUAGAGCUUGGAGGGAACAUAGAACACAGGGUGUCAAAAAUUGAAAAAAGACUUUAGGGCAACUGAUCCAACAGAAACUGAUCCUAGCAGACAACUCACUGACUUAGAAAACUACAAAUUAACAUUAUCUAUGUUAGAUGGUAUUUUUAUUUUGUGAAAGAUUUCCCAGUUAUAUUUUUAUCUGGUUUGGGCCACAUAUGGGAGUUUUACAGAUGGCUUAUCCCAAUAGGCUUGGGAAUUUGGCCCCUUUGCUUUUAGAGCAUGUGAUUUCAGGUCAGGGAGGGAAAGCGUCAGUGCCAGGCGAGACUUUAGAAAUAGAAUUUCAAAGCUGGGAAGGAAAUUAGAAUCUAGCACAUCAGAGAGAUCUCUUAGAAUACAGAAUGUCAGCACUAUGAGAGUCUGAACUUAGAACAUGUCAGAGCUGAGAGGCCCCCUAAAACAGGGAAUGUCAGACAUGGGAGAAUCCUUAGAACACAGAAUAUCAGAGUUGGGUACAACUUCCUCAUUUUACAGAAGAGAAAACUGAGGCAAAUGACACUUCCCCAAGGUCACAUCAGGGGUCAAAGAUGGAAUUGAGAGGAACCAGGACCAAAACACUAGGUGGCAAGAUUCCAGACACUCUCCUGGGCUUGGAUGCCAACCUACCUUCUCACUGGAUCUCCACCAGCUCUGAAGAAUUGGAGAGGUGCAUGAUGGGUAUGGGUCAACUGCAACAUAUGACCCAUGAGGAGUUGUAAAGAAUAAUAGGAAUAAAGGAUGGAGUGACAGGAAGAGAA